rnacentral:rRNA from 1 species
CGAAUGAAGCGGCAAGAGCCCAAAUUUGAAAUCAGGCCCUCGCGGCUUGAGUUGUAAUUUGGAGACGGGAUACUAGAGAGAGGGAGGGCGACUAAGUGCCUUGGAACAGGCUGCCGUAGAGGGUGAGAGCCCCGUGAGUCGCGUGAACUUGAUCAAUUAGUGCCCGCCGAAGAGUCGAGUUGUUUGGGAAUGCAGCUCUAAGUGGGUGGUAUAUUCCAUCUAAGGCUAAAUAUUAGCGAGAGACCGAUAGCAAACAAGUACAGUGAUGGAAAGAUGAAAAGAACUUUGGAAAGAGAGUGAAAUAGUACGUGAAAUUGUUGAAAGGGAAGGGUAUUUGAUCCGACAUGGUGUUUAGCAGCGGCCCGUUCCUCGUGGAUGGGUGCACCUGGUUUACACUGGGCCAGCAUCGGUUCUGGGAGCCAUAUACGGGGCAGGCGAAUGUGGCCCUUCGAUUCUGUCGGAGGGUGUUAUAGCGCCAGCCAGACGUGGCUAUCCG